rnacentral:rRNA from 1 species
GUAAAGAAAGGCUCUGUUCUCUUAACACGGAUGGAAAGUAUAACGGCAUACAAAAACCAACAUGGACAACCCAGAUUUGGAACUGCGGAACAAUCUGACACUCCAGUGUCUGCUAAUGACAUGUGUUCCCUUGCUGAAUGGCCAUCCCAUGCUCGCCGCAACCGUGGGCUACUACAGGAUGAAGCUGGUGGAUAGAAGAAGAAAGGGCGAGGUGUUCUAAAGGGUUUUAAAGCAUCUAAGAAGCGUUUUGCCAAUGGAUCUGCAAAGCUAAAUAUUACAUUCUCUGAAAAAUUGGGUGGUACAGUAGGAAUGAACUAUCAUUCGUUCAAGGAUGACGUGGUAGUCAUAAUGAAAAGAAAGUUACCACUCAUUGGAGUGAGGACAUGGUCGAACAUUCACCCUACCAUUUAUCGACUCAUUGUUGCAGAUAUGAUAGACAAAUGGGAUCUGGAAGAUACACCAGAAACAGAAGAAAAAGUUCUCAAAAUGGCGAAAGAGAGAUAUAGAGGCUGGCGAUCAACUCUAAGCUCCACUUACAAGGCAUACAAAACAGAUGCGGCUUGAUUGGCUAAUCUGCCGGAAGAUUUACAACCAGAAGAGUGGGAAUGGAUGAUUGAGUACUUUGGCACUGAUUCAAAAUUUUAGGACCGUAGCCAAAAGAACGCCGAUAACCGUAAGAAACAGAAGACAAAACACAUAAUCGGAUCAAAAUCUUACUCGCAAGUUAGUUUUGAGAAGGUAUGA